UUAGGUUUUGGGGCUAGGGGAAGGUUUAAGGUUUUUGGCGUUAGGGUUAAAAUGACUGUCCAAAACCUAUUUAGGAACAUGUUUCAGACCUUUUGGAGUUGGUUACACCAAAUAAAAAAAAAAAUAAAAAAAAAAUAUUUGGGGUGUUCGGGCUUCCUGAAGGUAAUACCCGGGUAUUAGUUUUGGGGCUAUGGUAAGGUUUAAGGUUUUUGGCGUUAGGGUUAAAAUCACUGUCCAAAACCUUUGUAGGAACUCUUUUCCAACCUUUUGGAGUUAGUUAGACCAAAUAAAAAUGAAAAAUGAAAAAAAAAAUAUUUGGGGUGUUUGGGCUUCCUGAAGGUAAUACCCGGGUAUUAAGAGUUGGGGCUAGGGUAAGGUUUAAGGUUUUGGCGUUAGGGUUUAAAUCACUGUCCAAAACCUUUGUAGGAACUGUUUUCCAACCUUUUGGAGUUAGUUAGACCAAAUAAAAAUUAAAAAUGAAAAAAUAUAUAUUUGGCUAGUUUUGGCUUCCUGAAGAUA